rnacentral:rRNA from 1 species
UACGGGGGGAGCGAACGUUGUUCGGAAUCACUGGGCGUAAAGGGCGCGCAGGCGGCUUAGUAAGUGGGAUGUGAAAGCCCCUGGCUCAACCAGGGAACUGCGUCCCAUACUGCUGGGCUUGAGUGCAGGAGAGGAUGGGGGAAUUCCCGGUGUAGCGGUGAAAUGCGUAGAGAUCAGGAGGAACAUCCGUGGCGAAGGCGACUGCCUGGGCCAACACUGACACUGAGGCACGAAAGCGUGGGGAGCAAAC